rnacentral:rRNA from 1 species
UAGCUAGUUGGUGAGGUAAAGGCUUACCAAGGCGACGAUCUGUAGCGGGUCUGAGAGGAUGAUCCGCCACACUGGAACUGAGACACGGUCCAGACUCCUACGGGAGGCAGCAGUGGGGAAUUUUGGACAAUGGGGGCAACCCUGAUCCAGCCAUGCCGCGUGAGUGAAGAAGGCCUUCGGGUUGUAAAGCUCUUUCGGCCGGGAAGAAAUCGCAUGGGCCAAUACCCUGUGUGGAUGACGGUACCGGAAUAAGAAGCACCGGCUAACUACGUGCCAGCAGCCGCGGUAAUACGUAGGGUGCGAGCGUUAAUCGGAAUUACUGGGCGUAAAGCGUGCGCAGGCGGUUUUGUAAGACAGGCGUGAAAUCCCCGGGCUUAACCUGGGAACUGCGUUUGUGACUGCAAGGCUAGAGUACGGCAGAGGGGGGUGGAAUUCCACGUGUAGCGGUGAAAUGCGUAGAGAUGUGGAGGAACACCAAUGGCGAAGGCAGCCCCCUGGGUCGAUACUGACGCUCAUGCACGAAAGCGUGGGUAGCAAACAGGAUUAGAUACCCUGGUAGUCCACGCCCUAAACUAUGUCAACUAGGUGUUGGGUGGGUAAAACCAUUUAGUACCGUAGCUAACGCGUGAAGUUGACCGCCUGGGGAGUACGGCCGCAAGGUUAAAACUCAAAGGAAUUGACGGGGACCCGCACAAGCGGUGGAUGAUGUGGAUUAAUUCGAUGCAACGCGAAAAACCUUACCUACCCUUGACAUGCCAGGAACUUGCCAGAGAUGGCUUGGUGCCCGAAAGGGAGCCUGGACACAGGUGCUGCAUGGCUGUCGUCAGCUCGUGUCGUGAGAUGUUGGGUUAAGUCCCGCAACGAGCGCAACCCUUGUCGUUAAUUGCCAUCAUUUAGUUGGGCACUUUAACGAGACUGCCGGUGACAAACCGGAGGAAGGUGGGGAUGACGUCAAGUCCUCAUGGCCCUUAUGGGUAGGGCUUCACACGUCAUACAAUGGUCGGUACAAAGGGUUGCCAAGCCGCGAGGCGGAGCCAAUCCCAGAAAGCCGAUCGUAGUCCGGAUUGCAGGCUGCAACUCGCCUGCAUGAAGUCGGAAUCGCUAGUAAUCGUGGAUCAGCAUGUCACGGUGAAUACGUUCCCGGGUCUUGUACACACCGCCCGUCACACCAUGGGAGCGGGUUCCGCCAGAAGUAGGUAGCCUAACCGCAAGGGGGGCGCUUACCACGGCGGGGUUCGUGACUGGGGCGAAGUCGUAACAAGGUAGCCGUAGGGGAACCUGCGGCUG